rnacentral:rRNA from 1 species
AUUGAACGCUGGCGGCAGGCCUAACACAUGCAAGUCGAACGAGCGGCGGACGGGUGAGUAAUGUCUGGGCAACUGCCUGAUGGAGGGGGAUAACUACUGGAAACGGUGGCUAAUACCGCAUACCAUCAGAUGUGCCCAGAUGGGAUUAGCUUGUUGGUGGGGUAACGGCUCACCAAGGCGACGAUCUCUAGCUGGUCUGAGAGGAUGAGCAGCCACACUGGAACUGAGACACGGCACAGACGCCUACGGGAGGCAGCAGUGGGGAAUAUUGCACAAUGGGCGCAAGCCUGAUGCAGCCAUGCCGCGUGUAUGAAGAAGGCCUUCGGGUUGUAAAGUACUUUCAGCGGGGAGGCGUUACCCGCAGAAGAAGCACCGGCUAACUCCGUGCCAGCAGCCGCGGUAAUUC